GUGGGGAAUUUUGGACAAUGGGGGAAACCCUGAUCCAGCCAUGCCGCGUGGGUGAAGAAGGCCUUCGGGUUGUAAAGCCCUUUCGGCGGAGACGAAACGGUUCGUGCUAAUACCACGGACUACUGACGGUACCCGCAGAAGAAGCACCGGCUAACUACGUGCCAGCAGCCGCGGUAAUACGUAGGGUGCAGGCGUUAAUCGGAAUUACUGGGCGUAAAGCGUGCGCAGGCGGCUCCUUAAGUCAGAUGUGAAAUCCCCGGGCUUAACCUGGGAACUGCGUUUGAAACUGGGGAGCUAGAGUGUGGCAGAGGGGGGUGGAAUUCCAGGUGUAGCAGUGAAAUGCGUAGAUAUCUGGAGGAACACCGAUGGCGAAGGCAGCCCCCUGGGCUAACACUGACGCUCAUGCACGAAAGCGUGGGGAGCAAACAGGAUUAGAUACCCCAGUAGUCC
rnacentral:rRNA from 1 species